rnacentral:lncRNA from 1 species
AUGUCUAAGCGGUGAUACACGGCCAAUGAAUUUAGCAGCAGACCAUCUCCCCAGGUAGGACCUUUGGGUCUUCACCCGUCCGGCGACGAAAUGACAGAACCUUUUCACCCUCUUCUCCCAAAUUCAGAAAUGUGCUACGAUGACCAUGCUUUCCUUUGUAAUGGGGUGGGGGGAGGGAGAGCUUUGCAGUGGGUAAUUUUUUCGUGGAAAAAGGACUGCAUGCUCGAAGAGAAGGAAUGAGGCAGUUCCACUCCGAUGACGUUGAAUCUCACGAGGGACGGGAUCAUGAAAAGUCAACCCCUCUCGUACCCCUGCCUACGAGUAAUUUCCGUAUCAUUCCAACUACAGGCCGCGCUUGUCUGUUCCACAGCGCGGCUGUGGAAUUCGCGCUUUGCUUUUCUCACUUAACAAAAUAUCUCAGGGAUCGUUCUGAUCUCUAGCAGCAUGGAUUGACGCGAAGGCGGUGUUUUGAAUCCAUAAAAUUAGUUAACUGAGAAAAUCAUGAAGGCCCUCUUAUCCUGAGCACCAGCCAAAGUGUUGGGGAGUCAGCUCUCUCCCCAGUAAAAUCUGAUAGCAGCCUGGCAUGAUGCUACCUCUUACCUGUAUUGCCUCGUUCGGUCCUCAGCAGACCCAGGGAGGGAGUUAUUCUCCCAUUUGUAGAUGAGGACACCGCUGCGAACGGAGCUUGGGAACGUGCUGGAGUCACACUGUAAGCGGCAGGGUCAGAAUCUGAACCCAGGCAGUCGGAAGGCAGAGCUCUGGCCCUCAACCACUGCCUUCCAGAAGAAGACAAGGAACUGUCUGGGAGCUGGAGCUGUUAUGAACACUCCUGGCGACGACACCGAGGACAAAAUGGACACGAAGAUUUGCAGAGUGUGUGGAAGUCCCGUGUGUGACCCCGGAGGAAAUGAAUCUGGGGAGGGAAGGUUUUCAAAGGCACCAGUGACCUGCUCAGAGCAGGAAAGACCUGGGGGGUUAUCACCUCCACUGCUGAGCCCAAGGCAGACCUUCCAGGCCUGUCAGGGACCCAGCAGAUUAUCCUCAGGCUCCAUGAAGUCGGUCUGUCCCAGACAAGGCGGAGACACACAGGCUCUUAAAAUAUAG